GUCCGAAUGGCGUAGUGGUUAGUGACCCUGACUCAGUAAUCGGCUACUCAGACCAGUAGCCGAUGGUCCCGGGUUCGAUUCCCGGCUGGGGCA
rnacentral:tRNA from 1 species